CUACGGGGCGCUGCAGUGGGGAAUAUUGCACAAUGGGGGAAACCCUGAUGCAGCGACGCCGCGUGAAGGAUGACGGAUUUCGGUCUGUAAACUUCUAUCAGCAGGGAAGAUAGUGACUGUACCUGACUAAGAAGCCCCGGCUAACUACGUGCCAGCAGCCGCGGUAAUACGUAGGGGGCAAGCGUUAUCCGGAAUUACUGGGUGUAAAGGGUGCGUAGGCGGCGACUUAAGUUAGAUGUGAAAGCCCGGGGCUCAACCUCGGGACUGCAUUUAAAACUGGGUUGCUAGAAUACAGGAGAGGUAAGUGGAAUUCCUAGUGUAGCGGUGAAAUGCGUAGAUAUUAGGAGGAACACCAGUGGCGAAGGCGACUUACUGGACUGUUAUUGACGCUGAGGCACGAAAGCGUGGGGAGCGAACAGGAUUAGAUACCCCUGUAGUC
rnacentral:rRNA from 1 species